AUUGUACCUUUAGGGAAAGAGAAGCGAUAUCUAGCCUGUGGAAAUGAAAGUCUUAGAGAACCCUCUGGAUAUCAGACGGUAUUCUUCCGAGAAAUAUUGAAGCAACAAAACAGUUCGGACGAGAAACUGUACUGGGAUAAACACCCGAGUAAAUGUUACAUGGAUAAGUCGAUUGAAUACGAUGAUGGUGAGGUGACAAUACCGGAAGGACGAGACUACUAUCUGUAUGCGUCGAUACACUUCAAUAUAAGCCGCAAUAACAGUAACGACCAGAAAGGGUUUCAAAGACCACAAAGAAUAACAAUCAGAAUAUGCAAAUCCGUAUACGGAUAUGAACAGACAUUGCUAGGGAGAUCAGAGCUUUUUGAUAUGACAAAUACUGGUGAUGUAGUUGGUAGCCUGAAAAUAGAAACACAUGUACAUCUGACAAAAAAUGAUAAAAUAUAUGUCCGUGUAAACGAUGUAAGUAGAAUAAUACAUAAUUCAAAAGGUAAUACCUUCGGACUGUUCCCUUUAUAAGAAUGGAAUAUGCAUGCAUGUGUAUUUUUUAUAUUUUCACAUGCUCUUAAGCUUACACCCUGAUAUUCUAGCUAAUACAACCAUAGACAGUUGAUAAUGCAGUAGCUACAUUAUGUGAGGCUCGAUUUGCAAUUUAAGUAAAUAUCGGAUGAUAUACAUGUUAUGUAACCAUACUAUAUUAAGACGAAAUAUUUGCCAUUGUCCGUCCGAGCGUCCUUUCUUAAAUGUUGUGUUACGUGUAGCUCUUCAAGUGCUUUAGCUUGGGUCAACAAACUUUACAAUGUUGAUCAGAAUGUGAAGUUGUUCACCUGGGCUUUCGCGUGUAGGUUAAUUCAGUUUUUGUCCUUGACUAAGUAAAAAUUUGCAAUUUCAAUUUGUGUUGCACAAAGCUCAAAAAAGUGUUAAACCUAGAGUCAUGAAACUUUACAGAAAUGUAAGUCAGCAUGUUUAGUAUGCAUCUGGAGGUUUGUUGUUGUAUGUUCAGUAUUUUGUAGGGUUAUUAAACAUAUCUUGCAGAUCAAUUAAAUAUCUUCAUAACUCUGUCAUUAUGGUAUUAAUCCCCUUCCCCAAAGCGCGGAUGGGAUGUCCGUUUGUUAGUCCGUCUGUCCGUCCGUAACAUUUUCUUGUUCGCUCUGUUACUUUUAAACCGCAGAAAAUCUUUUGAUAUAACAUGGCACAAGUGAUUACCAUUAUGAGACGAUAUCCAGAGCGCAUUAAUUGGGUUACUACCCCCACGGUCAAGGUCACACUCAAAGGUCGUAUUUUCAAUAAUCUACAUUUCGUGUCCGCUCCAUAACAUUUAAACCGUUGCAACGUUUUUAAGAUAACUUGGCAUAAAUGCUCACAACACAAAAAUUAAGUCACUACCCUCUAGGUCAGGGUCACACUCAAAGGUCAAAUGUUAAACAUCUAUUUUUCAUGUCCGCUCUAUAACAUGUUGACAAUUCAAAAGUUUUUAAAUUACUUGGCACAAAUGAUCCCUGUCAUGACACAAUCUGCAGAGCACAACAUCCAGGUUGCUACCCCCAAGUUACAUCCAGGUUGCUACCCCAAUGUCAAGGUUAUAUUUUCUUCAUACUUUUUGACUUUAUGGAAGAUUUGAAAUACCUUAGCACAAAUAAUUACCAUCAUAAGAAUAUGUGUUUAUAUUAUGCAUUGCACAACAUUAAGGUCAUAGUUGGUUAAAGGUCAAGAAGUACACGUUCAUGUCCACUGCGGAAGGGGAUUUAGAUGUCUCUCAGGCUCUUUAAUAUACUUCUAUGUAUGUUAAUUUAUUAAUUAUAUUUUAAAGAAAAUAGUAUGAGUGUUGUUUUAAUAUCUAAAAGAAGCGUUUGUUAUAACAAUCAGAUAAUGUUUGUUAUAGCACAAAUUGUUUGAUGAUGUUGUUUUGUGUAUAUAUUUUAGAAGGCCACAUUUAAAAUUAAGAUAUGUUAUUUGUGUUUUACGAUGUAGUAUCUUCAUGUGCUACUUUCUUUAAAUAAAGAUAUUAUUAUUAUUGCCCUUGACUUAUUAAAAAAUUUCAAUUUGUGUCACAGGUAGCUCAAAAAAGAUUUGAUCUAGGGUAAUGAAACAUUUCAGAAAUGUUGCUCAGCAUAUGUAGCUCUGCAUCUAUGGUUUUGCUUGUAUAUCUAUUUGGUAUUUGUAGAGGUAAUGCCCUUGAGUUAGUAAAAAAACGUUCCAAAAUUAUGUGCUUGUGGAUGUAUUCAGUAUAUUUAGAGUAAUUGCUCUCGACUUAGUAAAGAAAUAUCAAUGAUAAACUAGUAUCGUGCGUAACUUAAAAAAUAUUUCACCUAGAGUCAUGGAACUUUACAGGAAUGUUGAUAGUCAUGUGUAGUUGUGCUUUUGAGCUUUUGCCUGUCGAUUUGUGACAAUUAUUAAUAGAUUAUAUAGUUUGUUUUACUGCAUCAAUGACAAUAUUGAAUCAAUUUACAGGCAAUUGGAAAAGGUGAGUUCUUAGUGUUAUGGAAGGUUUCUGUUAUAUCAUUUCUCAUAGCACCUUCAAACUAUUUCUAAAGAGAACUUAUAGUUAGUCUUUCAUUGUCAUUCAGUUUUUAAGUACUUUCAUAUUGUAUUUUCGAAUAUUUAGCACUGAUCUUAUUUCCAGUAUUUUGCGCUCUGAUCAAUUUGUGCUCGACAUUGAUAAAUUGUCAUAUGAACUUUCGUCAAGAAACUUUCCAUCUGCAAGCCAAAGUCACAGGAAUGUCCAAUUAUGCAUGCAGAAAUGAGGAGAAUAAUGUUCACAGUGUUAGAGCUGACAUCUACAAACAGUAAUUUAAGCCCCCGAGCUUACCUAGUGCUGAAAUCAUCGGCUGGUCUCAGAAAAUAUUUUUCAUAGUUGUCAACCUUAUUAAUGAUUUUACUUUCAAGGUAUAUGGCAGUAUUAAGUGAUCAUAUAUCCAGCUAUGUCCUAUGACACAUUUCAAAAAUAUUUUUGAUACGUUUAGUUUUUACUUUUUUAUUUUUACUUUUUUUUUUACAAUAAAAUUACCUUUAAUUAUUA